AUUGAACGCUGGCGGAAUGCUUUACACAUGCAAGUCGAACGGUAGAGGGGGCAACCCCUCGAGAGUGGCGAACGGGUGAGUAAUAUAUCGGAACGUGCCCAGUCGUGGGGGAUAACGUAGCGAAAGUUACGCUAAUACCGCAUACGAUCUAAGGAUGAAAGCGGGGGAUCGCAAGACCCCGCGCGAUUGGAGCGGCCGAUAUCAGAUUAGGUAGUUGGUCGGGUAAAGGCUCACCAAGCCAACGAUCGGUAGCUGGUCUGAGAGGACGACCAGCCACACUGGAACUGAGACACGGUCCAGACUCCUACGGGAGGCAGCAGUGGGGAAUUUUGGACAAUGGACGCAAGUCUGAUCCAGCCAUUCCGCGUGCAGGAUGAAGGCCCUCGGGUUGUAAACUGCUUUUGUACGGAACGAAAAGGUCUCUCUUAAUACGGGGGGCUCAUGACGGUACCGUAAGAAUAAGCACCGGCUAACUACGUGCCAGCAGCCGCCGUAA
rnacentral:rRNA from 1 species